GCGGAAAGAAGCGUUACAGCCGUGAGCAUUAUGAUGCAAUGAUCCUGCACGAGAAAGGCAUUGGAGAAAAGGAGGUGAAAAUGGGGUGUGAUUCUUUUUCUCCCAAAGCAAUGCUGGGGACGGGGGAGUCAACUGAUUCUCCAGGAUGUGGAUGGCCACGAAGUGUCUCACCCCAAGAAUACAUCUUCAGUUGCACCAGGGAGAUUCAGGUCACUGCCAACUUGGUGUCACCGUUUGAUUUUUCAGGAAAGCGUAGUCUUUACCUGACAGCGGUGGUUGCCUCCAUCCACCCUCCCACCCCCAAAACAGAGCUACAAAAAUAGAUUCACCUACAGACGAAGAGCAAAUAAAGAUGGCUCCCAGCACGUGAAUAGCUGAUGAGGAGCCACUUAGCAGA